rnacentral:ncRNA from 1 species
UCCGCUAGGACGUGCGACGGAGUCCAAGGGUCGGUAAACAAGUACCUCCAUCGCACCGUGAGACUUGAACAACCAGGUCACACGGCCCAAUCACGGGAGAGAACGCUGAGCGUAACAAC